rnacentral:rRNA from 1 species
AUUGAACGCUGGCGGCAGGCCUAACACAUGCAAGUCGAGCGGAUGAAAGGGGCUUGCUCCUGGAUUCAGCGGCGGACGGGUGAGUAAUACGCAGGAAUCUACCUAGUAGUGGGGGAUAACGUUUCGAAAGGGACGCUAAUACCGCAUACGUUCUGAGGAAGAAAGCAGGGGAUCGUAAGACCUUGCGCUAUUAGAUGAGCUUGCGUCCGAUUAGCUAGUUGGUGGGGUAAAGGCCUACCAAGGCGACGAUCGGUAACUGGUCUGAGAGGAUGAUCAGUCACACUGGAACUGAGACACGGUCCAGACUCCUACGGGAGGCAGCAGUGGGGAAUAUUGGACAAUGGGGGCGAACCCUGAUCCAGCCAUGCCGCGUGUGCGAAGAAGGCCUCGG